rnacentral:rRNA from 1 species
AUUGAACGCUGACGGCAGGCCUAACACAUGCAAGUCGAGCGGCAGCGGGACCUUCGGGUUGCCGGCGAGCGGCGGACGGGUGAGUAAUGCCUAGGAAUCUGCCUGUUAGUGGGGGAUAACGCGGGGAAACUCGCGCUAAUACCGCAUACGUCCUACGGGAGAAAGCGGGGGCUCUUCGGACCUCGCGCUAACAGAUGAGCCUAGGUCGGAUUAGCUAGUUGGUGGGGUAAUGGCCCACCAAGGCGACGAUCCGUAACUGGUCUGAGAGGAUGAGCAGUCACACGGGAACUGAGACACGGUCCAGACUCCGACGGGAGGCAGCAGUGGGGAAUAUUGGACAAUGGGCGAAAGCCUGAUCCAGCCAUGCCGCGUGUGUGAAGAAGGUCUUCGGAUUGUAAAGCACUUUAAGUCGGGAGGAAGGGCUGUAGGCUAAUACCUUGCAGUUUUGACGUUACCGACAGAAUAAGCACCGGCUAACUUCGUGCCAGCAGCCGCCGUAAAAC